CAGGCUUAACACAUGCAAGUCGAGGGGCAUCAGGAAGAAAGCUUGCUUUCUUUGCUGGCGACCGGCGCACGGGUGAGUAACACGUAUCCAACCUGCCCUUUACUCGGGGAUAGCCUUUCGAAAGAAAGAUUAAUACCCGAUAGCAUAAUGAUUCCGCAUGGUUUCAUUAUUAAAGGAUUCCGGUAAAGGAUGGGGAUGCGUUCCAUUAGGUUGUUGGUGAGGUAACGACUCACCAAGCCUUCGAUGGAUAGGGGUUCUGAGAGGAAGGUCCCCCACAUUGGAACUGAGACACGGUCCAAACUCCUACGGGAGGCAGCAGUGAGGAAUAUUGGUCAAUGGGCGGUAGCCUGAACCAGCCAAGUAGCGUGAAGGAUGAAGGCUCUAUGGGUCGUAAACUUCUUUUAUAUAAGAAUAAAGUGCAGUAUGUAUACUGUUUUGUAUGUAUUAUAUGAAUAAGGAUCGGCUAACUCCGUGCCAGCAGCCGCGGUAAUACGGAGGAUCCGAGCGUUAUCCGGAUUUAUUGGGUUUAAAGGGAGCGUAGGUGGACUGGUAAGUCAGUUGUGAAAGUUUGCGGCUCAACCGUAAAAUUGCAGUUGAUACUGUCAGUCUUGAGUACAGUAGAGGUGGGCGGAAUUCGUGGUGUAGCGGUGAAAUGCUUAGAUAUCACGAAGAACUCCGAUUGCGAAGGCAGCUCACUGGACUGCAACUGACACUGAUGCUCGAAAGUGUGGGUAUCAAACAGGAUUAGAUACCCUGGUAGUCCACACAGUAAACGAUGAAUACUCGCUGUUUGCGAUAUACAGUAAGCGGCCAAGCGAAAGCAUUAAGUAUUCCACCUGGGGAGGACGCCGGCAACGGUGAAACUCAAAGGAAUUGACGGGGGCCCGCACAAGCGGAGGAACAUGUGGUUUAAUUCGAUGAUACGCGAGGAACCUUACCCGGGCUUAAAUUGCAGUGGAAUGAUGUGGAAACAUGUCAGUGAGCAAUCACCGCUGUGAAGGUGCUGCAUGGUUGUCGUCAGCUCGUGCCGUGAGGUGUCGGCUUAAGUGCCAUAACGAGCGCAACCCUUAUCUUCAGUUACUAACAGGUCAUGCUGAGGACUCUGGAGAGACUGCCGUCGUAAGAUGUGAGGAAGGUGGGGAUGACGUCAAAUCAGCACGGCCCUUACGUCCGGGGCUACACACGUGUUACAAUGGGGGGUACAGAAGGCAGCUAGCGGGUGACCGUAUGCUAAUCCCAAAAUCCUCUCUCAGUUCGGAUCGAAGUCUGCAACCCGACUUCGUGAAGCUGGAUUCGCUAGUAAUCGCGCAUCAGCCACGGCGCGGUGAAUACGUUCCCGGGCCUUGUACACACCGCCCGUCAAGCCAUGGGAGCCGGGGGUACCUGAAGUACGUAACCGCAAGGAUCGUCCUAGGGUAAAACUGGUGACUGGGGCUAAG
rnacentral:rRNA from 1 species